GACGAACGCUGGCGGCGUGCUUAACACAUGCAAGUCGAACGAAGAGCGAUGGAAGCUUGCUUCUAUCAAUCUUAGUGGCGAACGGGUGAGUAACGCGUAAUCAACCUGCCCUUCAGAGGGGGACAACAGUUGGAAACGACUGCUAAUACCGCAUACGAUCUAAUCUCGGCAUCGAGGAUAGAUGAAAGGUGGCCUCUACAUGUAAGCUAUCACUGAAGGAGGGGAUUGCGUCUGAUUAGCUAGUUGGAGGGGUAACGGCCCACCAAGGCGAUGAUCAGUAGCCGGGCGGAGGGAGUGAGCGGCAACAUGGGAAAUGAAACCCGGCCGAGACACCGAGGGGGGGCAGCAGGGGGGAAUCUUCCGAAAUGGAGGAAAGUCUGACGGGGCAACGCGGGGGGGGCGAUGGCGGCCUGCGGUUUGUAAAGCUUUUUUAAGGGGGAAGAAAGGCUUUUUGGAGAAUGGAGAGAAGGAUUGAGGGACCGGAAAAGGAAAGCCAGGGCUAACUAGGUG
rnacentral:rRNA from 1 species